CCUACGGGUGGCUGCAGUGGGGAAUAUUGGGCAAUGGGCGCAAGCCUGACCCAGCCACGCCGCGUGAAGGAAGAAGGCUUUCGGGUUGUAAACUUCUUUUAAUGGGGAAGAGCAGAAGACGGUACCCCUUGAAUAAGCCACGGCUAACUACGUGCCAGCAGCCGCGGUCAUACGUAGGUGGCCAGCGGUGUCCGGAUUUACUGGGUGUAAAGGGCGUGCAGCCGGAGAGACAAGUCAGAUGUGAAAUCCACGGGCUCAACCCGUGAACUGCAUUUGAAACUGUUGCCCUUGAGUGUCGGAGAGGUAAGCGGAAUUCGGGGUGUAGCGGUGAAAUGCGUAGAUAUAAGGAAGAACACCAGUGGCGAAGGCGGAUUACUGGACGAUAACUGACGGUGAGGCGCGAAAGCGUGGGGAGCAAACAGGAUUAGAUACCCUAGUAGUC
rnacentral:rRNA from 1 species